GCUGGCACACCGUGCGUAUACGUAAUCAUUUUCAUAAAACAUUGAGUUUAUAAUUUUAUACACUUUUUGUUCUUUUAGCUUUUAUUUACAGAGUGUAAACAUGGUUAACAUGAUGGCAAGGAGAAGAGGCAGAGGGUGUAUGUGCAUAUAUGCAUACUUGUCUGAACGUCCUCACCCACAUCCCGUGAGGUUAAUUUGAAAUUUUAUCAAAAGUUGAAGCACAGGCCCCGUUGCACACUGCUCACGGAAACGAAAUGUUGACCUGGAUGACUGCAAUGACGUUUGACUGUUGCUCCAUCAUCAUCGUCGUCGUCAUCUCCUUCAUCCUACCAAACGUUCACAUCUGUUUGGAGUUUCGAGACCAAAGUGAGGAAUUUUAAAUUAUCUUUUUAGUUAUACCAUAAGCUAAGGAAUAUAUGUAUGUAUGUAGUAACAUAUGUGUGCGGACAUGUAACCUGACUCCUACAUGACUACAAACCACAAAUGAAAUCAAUAAUUCUGUUAAA